AUAGUCCAAAAUAUUAUUAUUAUUACUAGAUAAUUCAACACUUUGAUUUUUCUUAAAAAAAAAAACGUUUAUCUCUGAAGAACACAACAAAACAUAACACGAUAUGAUGUUUUAAGAGUAAAAUAUUAUACGAAAUCUAGCGACUUGAAUUGCAAAAAUAAUAGAUCGGGAUUUGGGCCAUCUUCUCGACACUGAUAUGCAAACCAUUCUCUUGAAAAUUGUGGAAGGGAGGACCAAUACUCCGGAACGGGGGUAGAUAAGACCAAACAGGUUCUAAUUAGUCUAAAUCUAAAUUGUUCCCCGAUAAAUUCUAGCUCGUGUAACAUAAUCGGCAUGUCCUCUGAAUCCUUUGAAGAAAAACAAAAACUCACAUAAUCGGCAUAUCUAUGAAAAAUUUAAAAUUUCAAAACGGAUUAUAAACUAGCCUUUCUAUCAGGGGUACAGUCGUACAGAUAUGCAAGCGAAACUUGCGUUGCAGAAGAUAAUGUAUUCGGAGUAGCUACAGGAAGUUGAUAAAUUGUUCUCCAAAAGUGAAGGAGUUGCUCCGAAGCUUAACAUUGCAGAGCCAAAACCACCUGCACCGACUAAGUUGGCUGAGGAAAACCCAUUUGUUGCUUUAUGGAGAUCCAUGUAUGACACUGUGGCUAAAUUUGGAGCCAUCUGAGGAAAAGGAUCCAACAACUGCCUUGCUGUGGCUACAUUCCAGUCGGUUCUACCUGAAUUUGUUUCCCCUAGAUUUGGAGAGGGCAUUUCUGAAACUUCUAACCUACAACACUUGGGAAUUCAAUAAAAGAUUGAAGGUGUGAGUGAUAAUCUAGAUGCAUUAAACUAUGAAAAAGUGUACCUGUUCCAAAGUAGAGAUCUCCUGUUUCUUAGAGCCAUCGAGACUGCAGCUUGCAAACUUCCUAUAGCAUACGUCUGAGUACAACCUGUAUUGGCCUGAAGCAAAACAUUUAAUCUUAUCUUCUUUUUUUUGAUACAAGAAAACUAUUAAUAGAACAGUAUAUCAAUCCGUCUGUAAGAGCAUAUGCACUCAUUUGGAGCUUCAGUUCAUCAAUUUGAUAACUAUUACCAUCAAAUACACCGUCUUUAAGUCAUCAAUUGGUCAAUAAACAAAUUGAUGGACGUGUACUUAUGCAGCAGGCAUUUACUGAUCCAUUAAUCAAAUUGAAGGCCCCCGAUCUAUCACCAACUCCAUCAAUAUUUGAUGGAGUAUCUGAUUGAUGACCUUCAGUUUUAUUGAUGGACUAAUAAAGAACUGUUGCAUUGAUGAACUACGUCAAUUCAUUAAUUUGUUUUAACGGAUCAAUAUUAUUUUCAAUCGGUGCAUAUGCUUUAACAGAUGAGCUUAUGUUGUUCAACAGCCUCAAAUAUGCUAGUGAUUUGUAUUUGUGUGAGCACUGAUCAUUGCGGUCUAAUGGUAUAAAACUAAUAUUCGUAGAAAAUAAAUAAGAAUUUAGUAACCUCGAAAAAGCUCCUAAUUGUUUCCAGAACUCUUAAGGUAUCUUUAAUAUCCGGCCUGAACUUUGGUGACUCCUGGGCACAUCGCACACCAAUGCCUAAAAGCAUAACUAGACAAUCAUUUGCCUUUGCCGCAUCAUAUGUACUAAGUUCUUGUAGAUUGAAUGGGUCAAUAACAUCAUUUACCCCGCUAGACAAGACACUGGAAACAAAGUUCUGAAGCUUAAACGAUCCAUGAAAACUAGGGCCAGUAAUCUUCUUCCCGGUCAGCAUCUCCAGUAAUAUUAUUCCGUAGCUGUAGACAUCCCCCUUAGUGGACACCAUGCUUCCCUGGUAGUACUCUUGUGCACGGUCCACCAAGCAUAUGAAUAAAUCAGAAGAAAAUUAGUUUCUCGAGAAAUCAAUAAAUCUGUACACAAUUUUUCUAUUUACUUUUAGCUGUCUAGAUUCAGGUUGCAGCACUCUUGUAUCAGCAACAAUAAAUUAUUGGGACUUGUUAGAGCGUCUCCAACGAUGUUGGCUAAAUUGGAUAUGUAGGAUAUUACGUAAAAUUUGCUGAACUUGUAAGACAUUUUAACUCUAUAUAUGAAUAUAUAUAUAUACAUUAUACAUAUAUAUUAUACAUACAUAUAUAUAUAUAUGUAUGUAUAUAUUCAUAGAUAUGUAUAUGAAUAUAAUAUGAGGGUCGCGCUCAAGAGAGAACCCGUCCUUAAAAUAGAACCAUAGAACCACUAAGGUUCUGCUGCAUAACCCUAAAUUUUAAAUAGAUUUUUAGGAUCUAAAUCUAAAUACAUAUUUUUUUCAUGUUUUUUCAUCGUUGUAUGUGUUCAAAAAUAAUUUUAAAACAUAAUACAUAGAUAUUGACAUUUUUUACAUGUGAAGUUCUGCUGCAUAACCCUAACUAAUACUAGAAAUAAGGUAAGGGUUGUAUGGGUUCUCUCUCUAAUGGUUCUCUCUUAAGCAUGACCCUAUAUUAGUUAUAUAAAACUACACCUGGUCUAUAUAUUGUUUAUUAAAAUUCACUAAAGUGAAUCCUCAUAUUGAUUCGGGAAUCGAAUCAAUUCAAGAGUCAUCGUGCCCAAUUCAUAAAAACUAGCGUUUUAUGUGUCCAAUCUCGUACCACUACCACAUACCUCAACGACCCAUAAACAAUGGGGUGAAACAACAAAUUACAUGUUUAACUACUUGAUAAAAAUGCAGAAAACUUCAGGUCAUUUUUUAAGUUUAUUAUUGGACGGCAUUGACAUAUCUAAGAUUUGAAAAAAAUUGUAUGUAUGAAGUUUAAUUUGUCUUUUUACCUGGAGGUGCAUAUUCGGAGGGUCCUGCGAAUCCAUUAAAAAUUCUUCGAUCUAUGAGAAACUUUGCGAGUCCAAAGUUUGAUACAUAUGCGCUCAUUUCUGUGUCUAGGAAAAUAUUGCUUGGACUUAGGUUACAAUGUAUUAGGGGAUAAUCUAAUUGAUUAUGAAGGUAAUCAAGUGCACUAGCCACAUCAAUCGCUAUGUUAAUUCUGUUCUUUAGGUUAAGAAUCUGAGGCAUGCUAAGCUCAUCAGGAGAUGUUCUACAUGUUAAAUGCUGCCACCUAUCUAAGCUCCCAUUCUCCAUGAAGUCGUAAACAAUAGCUCUAAAUAUUUUGCCUUUCUUUGCAGUGCUUGAACUUGUACUUCUGAUCUUAACAAUGUUUCUGUGGCGAAUAUGUUGUUGGGCUUCACACUCUGUGCUGAAACUGUUGGUUGCUUCUUGAUUGAAUACUUUAAUUGCAACAGCUUUUCCAUUGUACUCUGGACCAAGUUCUCCUUUGUACACUGACCCAAAACCACCCUCGCUGACCAAGUUGGCUCGUGAGAACCCGUCAGUUGCUUGGUGGAGAAUCUUAUAUGACAAUCUGAUGGGUAAUACUGAUAUAGGUCUAAUAGAUACAGCAGGUGGUUCAGUUUUUUUCCCUCUAGGCAACAAAUGGUAACCGACAAUGAGAAGAACUAGUAUAAAACCUAUCAUGAAUAAAUCUUGUACCCAGGACCUUUUGUGUUUAUGUGAUCUAUCACUGUCACUACUGCAUCUUGGUAGCCGCAGUUCAGGUAUGCCUCCACAGAGCUCUUUGUUACCUACUAUCGAAAAUUCACUUGCAUUUGCGAAUACUCCUUUUGUAUGCACUUCUCCCUCAAGAUGAUUCCAACUUAGAUUUAGAUAUUUCAAGGGCAGCUCAAAAAAAUCUGGGAUUUCCCCGGAUAAGUUAUUACGAGAAAGAUCAAGAUUUUGCAUACCUCUUAAAUUUCGCAUUGAGUGGGAGAUGUGACCCCGAAAGAAGUUGCCUUGCAUGUAUAGUGUAUCAAGGGUAAUGCAUCUACCAAGCUCUGUGGGAAAGAAACCAGAAAAUUCAUUUUCAGAGAUAUCCAAUUCAACUAUGGUGUCCAAACCACCAAUACCUGCCGGUAGUGAUCCAACCAAAUGGUUUUGAGAAAGAUUUAAUUUGAUAGAAAAAGGAGAAACAUGAAAAAAUUCGUUGGGUAUAGUCCCACUGAGGUUAUUUUGAGACAAAUCCAAGAGGACCAACAUUGGACAAUUUCCAAAACUAGGAGGAAUGGUUCCGUUCAAUUCAUUAUUUUCUAAAUGAACUUCAUCCAACAUAGAUAGGUUUCCUAUGGAGGCCGGAAUGUUCCCUGUAAGUCUGUUGUUAGAAAGAAGAACGCGUUGCAACUUUCCAAGUUGGGUGAUUUCAGGGGGAAUAAUGCCCGUGAAAUUGUUAUGCUCUAAAGAUAAAAAGAUCAAAUUGAUAAAUUUGGAUAUGUCAGGAGGGAUGCUUCCAGAUAUCCAGUUAUCUGCUAAGCUUAUCAUCGUUAGCUUAAUUGAUAGAUUUGCAAUAGAACGGGGCAAUGAUCCUUGUAAGUUAUUGGCCCCUAGUUUCAAUAUCUUUAAGCUCCUGCAAUUUACUAACGAGUCAAUAAAUUUCAAGUCACCCUGUUCCCCAAGUCCGAAAUUAUUAUAUUCCAGACUUAAAUUUUGAAGAUACAGUAACCUUCCAAAAUCUACUGAUAUGGGGCCACUAAAAUUGUUGAACUGCAAGUGAAUAACUUGAAGUUUUGAAGCAUUAGAAAGUGAUACAGGGAUGUUUCCACUUAAUCUGUUAUCAGAUAGCUGAAUCUUCUGUAUAUUGUGAUGGGUCAGACCAAAGUCUGAUGGUAUACUUCCUUGAAGUUGAUUAUUGGCCAAAUUGAAGACAUUCAGUGAUGAGAGAUUGAAAACAGAAUUGGGGAUCAUACCAGAUAGGUUAUUGGAAAAAAGUUCGAGAAUGACUAACCUAUUAACUUGUCCCAAGGUAUCUGGUAUAUUUCCUUCCAAAGCAUUUCGUCCUAAGCUUAGAACUUUAAGCCUGAAAAGAUGGUCUACUUCUUGAGGGAUCGUGCCUUGAAGACUGUUGUUGGUGAGAACAAUUUCAGUCAGGAAACUCAUGUUUCCUAUAUCACUCGGCAAAGAACCCACAAAACCUUUUGAUGCAAGGUUUAUGCUAGUGACUCUUUUGUGCUGUUUGCUGCAUGUUAUGCCUGCCCAGCUGCAGAAGUUAAGAGACAUAUUCCAUGAGCUAAAAGCUCCUUGAGGAUCAUGGAUAAUUGUUGCUUUGAAGGCCAACAAUGCUAGGUGAUCGGUUUCGUUUCCCUUUACCGUAGCAGUAGAAGUUGGGAUGAUUUGAGCAUGGCAGAUGAGAAACAGAUAUAGUGUACAAUUCCAGAAUUUGUAAACUCCCGCGCUCAUCUUCUGAGGUCCAGGAAAAUGGUAGCCAUCUGGAAAUUUCCUUGCACUAGUGGGCAUGUGAGACUUUCAAAAAGAAAAAGAAAAAAGAAGGAAACAAAGAGGGCAUGUGAGACCUACCAGUUUAUUGUCGCCUACAAAUUUAUCGGUAAACAAAUUUGUCUUGGAUGGAGAGUGACCGUGAGUCUAUUGGGAGGUCUGCAUGUAAAUUUAUUCUAACAUGUGAUUGUUAGAGAUUUUUGUACAACUCAUUAUGUUCCAGCCGUUGGAUGAUCCAACGGCUGGCAGUUAAUAAAUCCAACGUAUUUCGUUU